UGGCUCAGGAUGAACGCUGGCGGCGUGCUUAACACAUGCAAGUCGAACGAUGAUGCCCACUUGUGGGUGGAUUAGUGGCGAACGGGUGAGUAACACGUGAGUAACCUGCCCUUGACUCUGGGAUAAGCCUGGGAAACUGGGUCUAAUACCGGAUAUGACCUUCCAUCGCAUGGUGGUUGGUGGAAAGCUUUUGUGGUUUUGGAUGGACUCGCGGCCUAUCAGCUUGUUGGUGGGGUAAUGGCCUACCAAGGCGACGACGGGUAGCCGGCCUGAGAGGGUGACCGGCCACACUGGGACUGAGACACGGCCCAGACUCCUACGGGAGGCAGCAGUGGGGAAUAUUGCACAAUGGGCGCAAGCCUGAUGCAGCGACGCCGCGUGAGGGAUGACGGCCUUCGGGUUGUAAACCUCUUUCAGUAGGGAAGAAGCGUAAGUGACGGUACCUGCAGAAGAAGCGCCGGCUAACUACGUGCCAGCAGCCGCGGUAAUACGUAGGGCGCAAGCGUUAUCCGGAAUUAUUGGGCGUAAAGAGCUCGUAGGCGGUUUGUCGCGUCUGCCGUGAAAGUCCGGGGCUCAACUCCGGAUCUGCGGUGGGUACGGGCAGACUAGAGUGAUGUAGGGGAGACUGGAAUUCCUGGUGUAGCGGUGAAAUGCGCAGAUAUCAGGAGGAACACCGAUGGCGAAGGCAGGUCUCUGGGCAUUAACUGACGCU
rnacentral:rRNA from 1 species